CAGUAGCCGCGGUAAUACGAAGGGGGCCAGCGUUGCUCGGAAUGACUGGGCGUAAAGGGCGCGUAGGCGGCGGCCAAAGUCAGGCGUGAAAUUCCCGGGCUCAACCUGGGGGCUGCGUUUGAUACUUGGUUGCUUGAGUGGGGAAGAGGGUCGUGGAAUUCCCAGUGUAGAGGUGAAAUUCGUAGAUAUUGGGAAGAACACCGGUGGCGAAGGCGGCGACCUGGUCCUUUACUGACGCUGAGGCGCGAAAGCGUGGGGAGCAAACAGGAUUAGAUACCCGCGUAGUCCCUGUCUCUUAUAC
rnacentral:rRNA from 1 species